AUGUGUAAAUGUGUGAAUCGAUCAAUAAGUAAUAUAACUUCUCUUGGUCCCUGCUAUAUUCUAGGUCCUAGCCUGAGUCCUUCUUUGCUCAAUGAGGAGUCUAAAGACCUUCCAUGGCUUUGGAGUUAUAGGGUGAAAGGAACCUCCAAAUGGCCCAAAAGCAAGAAAAUAGAAGCGCCCUCCUCAUCACAAAAAAAAGAACUGAGAGAAAAUGUUUCAAGAUGUUCCACUGGAAAACCUCUCCAGAGUAAGGGUAUGAAGGUAUUUCUGGAGCUGAAAGGCAACAAAUUGAGAACUGGCACGCACACCCCAAAAUAUUUCUGUGCUAAAUACAUCUUCCUACAGACACUUUUAAAGGACAACUAUCUUCACCAGCUAAAUGAUCUAUUUUGCAUCUUCAGAGAAACUUCUGUGGCUGCCUCAGAGGGGCCCAAUCUUGGGGUAAGCAGCUGGAAAGACAGCUGACUACUCAUGAUCAAGAUCCUACAAGGAUCUUGCACCAUGAUGAAUUAUCUUCUUCCAAAGUGAAAUAGAUACAACUGAGUGUGUAAAAUACACAAGUAAAUCUUAGAGAGGAGAUAUUCCAUUUCCCAGUGAAGUAGAUGAGUAGGUCACUAAUAAAAUUCAUUUUGCUGGUGAGGAGAGAAGCACUGCAACUGCAGUGAGAACAAAGAGGAUAAAUUCGCAAAUCUCAGAAUAAGUCAGUAUCCCUGAAUUUGCCAAAAAGAGAGUAUAAAGAAAGGCCAUGUUGUAAUCCAUGCUGAGGUGGGGCAUAACAAAUUGUGGCACCAAGUUUGUUUCAUUUAUGACAACUGCUAGGAAUUCUUCAUUGUUGUUAUUUAUUCUGAAAUAGUGAAAAUGUAUGGUAUGGUAAAGUAUAUUGUGGCCAUGAGAAAUCCCAUAGGACUGGCUGCAAAGUGUGAUACGGGGAUAUGCAGGCAGAUGAGUAUAUCCAGGCAAUAAACCAAGUCUGGUGUUGGAAACACUGCUGCAGCUUUAAUAGUGGCUCUGUUAGGGCUGGGAAACAGCAAGUGAUGGUCAAGGAUGAGUCCAUAUGCCAGCCCUGCUUUAUGAAGAAUUACACUGUGAAGUGUCCAAGGUACCAUAGUGCUCUUGAAGCAGAAGGGGAACAAGUGAUCUGCAACCAAGUCAACUGCUCUGUAUUUAAAGGGCGGCCUGUGUUACUGCUGCACUGAGGAUUGUACUGGCUGAAGUGCAUGUUCAAAGAAGGUUAGAGUCUUUUUGUUCAGAUAAUUGUAAGUAAUAUAGAUAAUAACUUAGAAGAGGUCAAUACUGAGCCAUGCUGUCCACAGCCAUCAGCAUUUUCACUGUAAAAUUGAAUUAUUGGAAACAUAUUUUGAAAAGGAAAGAAAAAGAAAAACCAGAGGAAACCAAAAAAUCUUUUUCAAUAUCUUUACACUCUUUUCCUUUGAAAUAGUUCAAGCCAAAUUUAAAAAUAUAUAUAUUGUGAGAUUUGCACUUUAAAAUGCAGAAAUGUAUCUAGCUUCAUCCUUCAAAACCAAAACUCUUUAAGAAUUUGGAAUUAAUAAACCUUAGUAUUGUUCAUUUGCCAAUUAAAGUGCAAAGAGUAACUGCCAAAGGGUAUUAAGGUAUGAAAAGUUGAAAACUUCAGUUCUUAACACCUUUUCAUCUGUAAAAGAAAAACGAAAUAAAAUUUAUGUUUUAUUGCCUCUUCUCAUUGACUGAAGUUUGCAGUGCUAUACAGUCAACAUUUUUUAAUAGUGUAACAGAUGAAGCUUAGCAUUUACUAUCAUUUUAAUGUGUACCUACUCACUUGAUUUAAACAGAGGAGAUGUUUUUAGAUCACUUUUCUUGCUACCUAUGCCACAUUUAUUCCAUUCCUGAGCGCUGUCAUUAUAUUUUUUUAUCUUCUCUGAGAACAUGAUGUUUUUAUCGUAUGUCAUGAAAACAUUCACAUAGACUUCCACAGAUUGUUUUGAGCUUGAAUGUAAAUUUUGAGUUCGGCAUUCAGUCAUAGUCAAUGGUAUCAAUUCCAAGAAUUCAUUUACUAGCAGUUCACAAAAGUUUUUGUCUCAUUAACGCUUUAAAAGCUUAAAAACGGUUAAAGAUAC
rnacentral:lncRNA from 10 species